CCUUGUGGUCACUAAGCAGCAGAAAUUGUAGUUGACAAACUAUAUUUUAUAACAAGACAGAGGGGCCUUUCUUCUGAUUAACUGGGUGACCUUGGACAAAUAUUUCUGGCACCAAUCUACAAUACCCUCUUCAAUAAUUUGAGAUGCAAAAUAUCCACCAUCAAACACCACAAAUGGACUUUAUGAGAAUGCACACAUUCACAUUUGGGGGGACACAUGUCCAGUGUUCCUCUGGAUCCUAAUGAAAGACAGAAGUCCUCCAAUUCUGCCAGAGAACAAGUGACAGAUAACAUAGAGCUGUGCUAUUUCCUAGAGAACUCUUGUUCAAUUCUGUCCUGACUCCAAAGAAAGAAGAGCUAGCCACAUCCUCUACUUAGCCCAGCUCCAGUUCUCAACUUGGGGAAGUUAAAAAUUUAACUUCUUGGGAGGAUCUUAAGAAGAGACAGCCAGUGCAGAGGCUGCGGGCAGCCUAGCAACCCAGCGCUCAACCGCUGUGCUACCAGGGGAGGCCCAAGAUUGUGAUGUUUUUGUCAGGAGAGCUUUGACUGCUCCCCGGCCACCUGAGGAGGGUCCCACAUGGCGCGCAGACCUCUCCUGCUGCCUGCUGCUCCCCUCAGCAGUGUACUUCGGUCCUUGGUCCUUCUGCCUGCUCUGCUCCCUGCUCUGGCUCUGGUGAAUUCUCUCACCCUCCCGCACUUUUGACUGUACCCAGUGCUUGUAUAAAAAAAAAAAAAAAAGAACACACUCAUGUCAAAAAAACAGAAAUAUCUUAAAGCAACUAACUCUGAGACAUAAACUAAAUGUGAGGGGACAUGAGUAACUUGUGGUGCUGAACUUGAAUUUCUGCAUAGUGACAUUCUUCUACAACAAAAGGGUAAAAUAUUCACAACAGUAAUGAAUCUAUACAACUACCAGCAGGAAGCUAACUGGAUGAUUGAUUAUCAACACAUGGAGUCAUUUUUCCACUAGCAACAAAUAUUUUUCUUAGUGGCAGAAUAACUGGAUUUCAAAUAUGAUAAUAAC